CUCCGCUCCUGCCUGUGGGGGCCCUCCCUCCACUCCUUCCCGAGGUGGGUCCCUCUUCAAGGCCUUCCAGAGGGGUCCCGCCUUCCAAACCUUUUGGAAGGGGCACGCCCUCUUCUCCAGAGGGGACCAGCCCUCUACCUUGCCUUCCUGAGGGGUCCCGCCUUCCAGAGGGGGUCCGCCCUCUACCUGGCCUUCCUCCAGAGGGGACCCGCCCUCUACCUUGCCUUCCUGAGGGGUCCCGCUUUCCAGAGGGGGUCCGCCCUCUACCUGGCCUUCCUCCAGAGGGGACCCACCCUCUACCUUGCCUUCCUGAGGGGUCCCAUCUUCCAGAGGGGACCCGCCCUCUACCUUGCCUUCCUCCUGAGGGGACCCGCCCUCUACCUGGCCUUCCUCCAGAGGGGACCCGCCCUCUACCUGGCCUUCCUCUAGAGGGGACCCGCUCUCUACCUGGCCUUCCACCUGAGGGGACCCGCCCUCUACCUCGCCUUCCUCCAGAGGGGACCCGCCCUCUACCUCGCCUUCCUCCAGAGGGGACCCGCCCUCUACCUGGCCUUCCUCCAGAGGGGUCCCGCCCUCUACCUGGCCUUCCUCCAGAGGGGACCCGCCCUCUACCUCGCCUUCGCCGGCCUCCUAAAGGGUUCUGCCUUCGCCGCUGCCGGCCUUCAGAGGGGUUUCUUUGCCGCUGCAGGCCUCCUGAGGGACUGGGCCCUCAUCGUCCUUGCCGCCGGCCUCCUGAAGGAUCCGCCUUCACUCUGCCUCUGCUUGCCCCCCAGGCCGUCCGCCUGAGGCUCCCUGCCAUGCCCUUGGGCAGUUUUCUGGCCGCCCGCCUGACACCCCUCCGCUCUGCCCCAGUCCAUUUUUUUUUUUGAUUCCCUCCUCCUGGCUCCCCUCCACCCACCUGAUUUGGGUUUGACUUUCUUCGUUGAUUUUUUUGCGAUUGUCGUGGGUCGCCUGGGAGUCGACCCUUAAGGGGGGGGUACUAUCAUGGUCUGUCGUGUUUUGGUGUGUUUCCCUGCGUUUCCCUCCUGUAUUGAUUACUGCUCCCUCCCCUAAUGGGUCUCGGCUGUUCCUCGUUGCGUCUGCUACUUAAGCCCUUGUCUUUCCUUUGUUCCUGGUGCUGUCAUUGUGGUUAGUUCGUCCUGCGUGUUCUCUGUUGUCACCUGUGUUCCCUUGCUCCUUGUUCCUUGCCUUAGCCUUUAAGCAGAAAUAAAGUGCUGUUCUCCCUAAACCGUCUGCAUCUGGGUCCUACCUGCCUGCCUGCACCCACAACCCUAACAAUUUGGGCCCUUUUCAUGUUCAUAUUCACGCUGACAAAUAAAACGCACAUACAUCAUUUAUGGUAAUAAUAUAUAUUUUUUCCUCCCAAAAAUGUUUUGUGCCGGUGAAGGGGUUGCCCAGCUGAAAAAAAGUCUUUGGGGGUACACUAGUAGAAAACAUUUAGAACCACUGCGUUAAGGCGUAGUGAAGUCCCGGGUGUAGGGCGGGGGAAGGGAGGGAGUGUUUGGUACUUACUUGAGGGUCCACCAACCUGGUAGGGUCCGGGUAGAGGUAGAACUUGAUCCCGUUGAUGGCCCCCGGCAGCGUCAGCCCCCGGACCAGCAGCACCACCAGCAUCAGGUAGGGGAAGGUGGCCGUGAAGUACACCACCUAGCAGAGACGGCAGACCCAGGAGAGAGGAGGAGGAGGGGGAGGUGGAGUUUGGGGGUUAAUUUGCAAUUUAGAACAGCAUGAACAAAUAAGUGUAUCACAACAAUACUACAAAGAAAUGAAUUUUAUAUUAUGUUGAAUAUUUUCUUCAGAUUGAUAAAAUAAACAGGCCAAUUUUGUCUCAAUCGCGAGAGAAUGCGACGCACAAACAUACAAGCAUAAAAAAACACACAGAAGUUCAUAUUUAUGCAAACACACAGGCAUGCACACACACACACACA